CACCAAAGGGGAAUGGCCGCUCCUGAUUUACAAGCCGUAAGAACCCAGCGUUGAGGUGGAGCAUUUCCUCCAAGACAUGGGUCCAACCCAAAUACAUCGCACAGGCUGCAGCCAGAGCUUGGAACGGUGUCUCUAAAUGCUCCAGCUGGAAGUACCAGUGCUGUUGAUAGAGUAAAUUGCAAGUACAACACCGCAGUCAUCCGAAUGGCUGUCACAAGGACGCAGAGGUCCCUCUUGGAUUUUAAGCCCUGAAAGAGCAGCUUGACACCCUGUGACCUGCCUGAGACUGAUGUUCUUCAGGACAGUGGCUGGUUUUACCUUGUGUCUUGUGCAUUGAAAGAGUGUCUCCAGGGCUUUGCUAAUCACAGCAAUACCCAAGCUAAUGACAGUUCUUACUCCUCUGUAAUAUCUGACAUUUUUUGACUGUUCCUUUUGCACUUUGCCCAGUUUGUUUUCUUCACAUAUACUGGUAUUAAGCCUGUCUUUAAAAGGUAGUUGCCCUUGUAAUCUGAAGCGUGUGUUAAUUGCAUGUUUGCUAACUCAAGAACAGCUGAAUGAGCU